rnacentral:piRNA from 1 species
UAUACUGGAAGAUCUUCUGGAGAAGGUGGU